rnacentral:lncRNA from 1 species
CAAUGUGUCAUACAACAACCUUUCUGGAACACCACCUAGCACAAGACAAUUUGCAAACUUUGAUGAGUACAACUACAGAGGUAAUCCCGGUCUUUGCGGACAACUCCUAAAUCAAAAGUGUGAACGUGUCGAGUCUUCACCUUCAUCACAAUCCAAUGACAAUGGAGAAAAGCAAACCAUGGUGGACAUGAUAACAUUUUAUUGGAGUUUCAUAACAUCUUAUAUUACAAUACUAUUGGCCUUCAUAACUGUGUUGGGCAUCAAUCCACGUUGGCGUAUGGCCUGGUUUUAUUACAUCAGUAAGUUUAUGCGUAGAUUCUUUCCAUCUUUUCCAUUAUAUUGAUGAGUGUCCAUAGUUCCUGUUGAAACUUUAUGUGGAGUCUAAAAUAUUUGGAUACUGUAUUUUUUAUAUUUACCGUUAAUUCCAGACAGUUUGAGACAUUGGCUUUUAAGCUCCUCUUGUCAACUUUAUGUUCAUCAUGUUGUUUGUGUGAUGUACUUAUCUGGAGAACUUUGAAGAUAUUGUGAUAUAUUAUUUUUGAAGAUCCAAGAGUUCCUCAAAUAGCUCUGAGACCUGUUUCAAAGAUCCAUCAAAUGACGUUCUGCAGCCAUUGACCCGGCAGCAGCCAUUGAUUCUGUGACAGGCCCUAUGCUAGAGUAUUAUUGAAAAGACGAAAAGAAAACGAGCAAAAACUGUUUUUUACUCGAGAGCAUGCUCUGUCGAUGGAAUCAUUCCCUUCUAGAGAGCCUUGUGUACAAUACUAACUCCAAUGCCAUUAAUAUUUGCCUUUAGUUUUCUUUUGUCAAUAAUAAUUCUUCAAGCACCAAAUCGGUCCAUGUCUAAGCCACUCAAAUUAAUCACUAACUCUAUUAAUAUUUCAAAUUAUUCAUUUUUUUUAUCAAAAGUUUCUGAACCAGAUCCUUCGACAUGUGACAAAAACAUAAAGAAAAGGUUCUAAUUGACAAACUUUUGACUAAGUGCUUUUGUAAGUAAUUCAUUAUGAGACCCUACGUUUUACAGUUGCUUUCAUAAUGUUAUUGUUUUUUCAUUGAAAGGUUUAGCUCUCGUAUUAACACUUUAGUUGUUUUCUAUAAAAGUAACUUCUUAUAUUUUUCAAAUAACUGGAAUGUCAAUGUAGGUUGAAUCUGGGUGCAGAACUAUGACAGAAGCGAUAUUACGAGUAGAUUUACACAUUUGUCUUAAAAUGACCGAAAUUAAUAAAUAGGUAAGAGUAUAAUAGAAAAAUUAGCAUUAAUGUUUUAUUGUUACUGUAAAACAAUUAUUUUUUUAUUUGUCCUCGUGAGUUUAACUCAGUUGGUAUAGAUAAUGUAUAAUAUAUGUAAGGUCCAGGUUCAAAUCCCAGCCAAAAAAAAAAAAAAAAACAAUUUCUUUUUUCUUUCCUGAAUUAUAAUUUGAGAUGGAGAGAGUAUUAAUUAAACUAGUAAUGUUAACAUACGUAUUUAAUCUUGCAAGAUAACAUUAGCAUCUUUGUCAAAUAUCAUCAUCUCUAGUCAACUCCAAGUCUUUCCUGAGGUUCCAGGAAGUUUCUUGCAAUUAAAAAGUCCCAUCUUUUUUUUUUUAGCAAAGACAAAAUUAAUGCAUUUCAUUCAAAAACAAAAAGUAACAAAGUUGAAGGUACACUAUAAAAAAGAUGGGGGCUAAGAUGAGAUAAGGAAGCUCUAGCUAUACUAUGAGCAACCCUAUUAGCUUGUCUCCUAAUAUACGACACUUUAAAGUCGGUAUUUGUAAACAAGAGACCUCUACAUUGAGAAAUAAUGUCUCCAACUUCAUUGAGGUGAGCGGAGGUAGUGUGAAUGGCAUCAGCAAGGGUCAUACAAUCUGUUUCAAAGCGGACAGUUUGAAAUCCCAAAGAGAUUGCCAAUUUUAUCGCCUCCGACAAUGCAGUAGCUUCAGCUUCUAAAACAGUCAUCGAGGAUGGAAAAAAUGCAGAUUUUGCAAUUAAGAGUUUCCCCUCCGAAUUUUGAAAACAGAUUUCAUAUCCAACAAUUGAUUAUGGUGGAAAAUUGCUGCGUCAACGUUGCAUUUUAUCACACCGGAAGGCGGUUUAACCCAAGAGAUGAUGUGGUUUGAAUUUUGAACCUGUAGUUUAGCUCUUUACAUACAAGUCCAUUCGUGGAGUGUAUCCUUUGCUCGAGUAAUAACAACAGUGGCUGGUGUAUUGGAAGACUCCCAAAGUCCCAUCUUUUAGUAUAAGGUGAAUACAGGAAUUUGGGGCAAGACCGAAAAGUCCCAAUAUAAUUGAUUCUUGCAGGAAAGAAAGACACUUACAAAACUAAAUGAUAUUCACCGUCAAUUUACAGAUUUUUUACACUCGCAAUUGUCAUAUCAUUAAAACCAUUUAACUUCAUUGAUAACUACUUCUAAAAUUACAUAAAUAUGAUUUGAUUGUGAUUUGUUAAUAAUAUAAUAUUUUUAAAUUGACAGUGUAUAUAAAAAAUUAACUAUGGCUACAUCAAGGUUUAUUAUAUCAUAGUUUAAAAAGUGAAUACUUUUUCCUCUCCUCACUGAUUCCAUUUUUUUUCUUCCGAUGUAAGCAUGAAUCGAAAGUUUUCAGUUUGAAGAGAAUAAGAAUUUUGGGGAGUUCUCUGAUUUUCCUUACCCUGUUAGCUCAAUUUCACUGACUUAGAACAUAGAAGAGGAAUGGAAAAUUCAAAUACAAAAUCUAGGCAAUGGCCAGCAUUUUAAGUAUAAUAGAUGGGGAAAAAAAGUAUUUAGAAGGAAAUAAUUAAGAUUUAUUGAUAUUGAAAAAAAAAAUAAGAUUUAUUGAUAUUGUAAAAUGAUAUGUAAAAUGAUAUAUAUAGUUUCUAAACUAAUUCAUAUAGUUACUAUUAUAGUAUUUUUGAAUCCUCAUGAGGACAUUAUUGUUCUUCCUAUCAAUCAAGUUAAGAAAUUAAUUCAUAUUGUUUAAACUCAACACCCUCGAGACUAGGGUUUCUAGUGUCAUAAAGAAUUGACUGAAAAGAGAAAUUUUAUUUGGUUUAAUCGAAAGACUCUAUUAGGACAGUCAUGAUACUAAUUUGCUUAUUAUAACUUUGUAGCUACAUAAGAUGGAUGACAAUACAGUGUUUCUUAAUGACAACAUUAAUGAUACAAUAUGGUGCAACUGAAGAAAACUUUCGUGUCAAUUGAUAUAAAAGUAGAUGAUUUGCAAAAUCAUGUAAUCCACUUAUGAGUUAAGAAAUUUGUCUCUUUAGUGUUACCAUAAAUUUUGAUAAAGUAAUUGUCUCAUUUGGUUUUGAGAUAAUAUUAUGAAGAAUUGUGGAUUUAGUAAGCUCAGUGGGGGUAAACUUAUAUUUCUAGUUUAAUGUGCCGGUUUUAUUUUAUUUAGUCAACUAUGAUAUAUGUUCGUUGUGUGAAACCAAGAAAUCUCUAACAAAAGUUUGGUGAUGAAAGAUCUUAGGGACACCUCUUUUGUUUAAGCAUUUUUGAUACUUAGAGAUACUUCUCAAGGUAUCCUUCAGAUGAUGUCACAAAAGAAUUAUAUCAAUAAAGUUGAAAAUGAAAUGACAUAAUUUUUUGGAUGAUCUCAAUCACCGAGAGAGACUUUUCAGUCUCAAAUAUUGCCCAAUUAAAAAAUUUAUGAAUUCAUAAAUUUAAGUAUUUUCCUACAUUUUACCUAUAGGAUUUUUAUGUAUGAUUUUAUUAUACACAUUUGGAAAUAGCGUAUUUAAUGAGAUUGAAAUAUGAGAGGGGAAAGGAAAAGGUUAGAAGAUGUAGGGUAAAACUGAUUCUCAUUGAUUAACUACAUUGAUACAUGGCAUAUAUAGAGUCGUAUGAAAAGUUAGUUGAUAACAAACUAGCUUACUUGCCAAACAAGUAAGUCCAUAACUAACUAACAGACUAAUGAGAAUAAAACAAUGUUAUAUACCUAACAAUCACUCCCCUUGUUUGAAAAAUACUUCUAGCUUCAAAGGUUUAGUCUUGAUGUCUGCUGGUUGAUUAAUGUUUGAACUAUAAUAAGCAAAUUCCAUAACUCCUUCUUUUGUUAAGACCCUACGAAAAUAUAUGUGAUAUCUAUGUGCUUACAUCUUCCAUGCAUUGAAAGAUUCUUUGACAAUUUUCCUGAUGAAUAUAUGUACUACAGAUCAGGGCUGGCCAUGGACCUGUGCAAACAGUGCUACGACACAGGACUUCAAAGUUUUGAGGGCCUAAAUUUUAAAGGUCAAAAUUAUGAGUUAUGAUCUUCUUCAUUUUCCUUAUUUAUUACUAUAGCUUUGAAGAUUUUUAAAGUAUAUAUUAAAUAAUAGAAAAUGUUACGAAUGUCCACGAAAUAUUCUUUAAAGUCUUUAAAUUUGUGUAUUCAAUUAUGGUUUGAAAUUAAAGUAUUUUAUUUUCUAAGGAAUAAUUUCUUAAUUUGAUAUUCUUAAUGAGGACCUCGGAGACACUCGUUGGUCGUUAGUAGAACCUUUAAAUAAUUAAGGGCAAAUUACACUCACCUCUCUUGAGGUCUCUUUAAACAACACAUAUACCCCCUCUAGUUUUCAAAAACACUCACCUCCCCUCUAAACUAACUCUGCUAGCCUAAAAUGUUGAUUCUUAACAACCCUGAUUCAUUCCAUUACAGAAAAACUCCACUACAAUGAAAUCUUUAUCUACCGUGUAAAUUUAUAGGUUCGUCACCGGUAUUCAUACAUUCCACCGCUAUGGGCAACUCCAAAUCAAUUUCACCAUUCUCUAAACAAUUCUUAAAAGUAUAUCACUUUUAAAAAAGCGUACCGCACUAGCUAGAUGUACAUAGAAAGCAAGAACCAAUUUUUGACUUCAAGCAGGGCCCAAGUAAAAAGCAAAGCAUUGAAAUCAUUGCAAGAGCAGAAACGACCCUGCCAACAAUCAAGAUUUAAAAAUAAUUGCUGUUUUCUUUAGUGAUUAGUUACAUAAUGGAGUGUAGAAUGGUUACAAUAACAUAGAUUUUCAAAUCACUUAGAAUUUUAUAAUAUAGUUUAGGCACGGUCAUCACAUACCUAAUUAGUGAUUUAAAUUUGAUUUUUUAUAGUGAAAGAAUCUAUGUUUCUUAUGAUUUAUAAUUUUUUAACGAGUAAACAACAAUUUUGUUAUCUGAAUAUGUGACAAAUUAUCACCAUAGUCUUUGAUGUAUCGAAAUUACAAAUGCAUCUUCAAGUGUAUCUUUAAUUAAUCAUUAUCAUCUUCAAACAUAUUUCGUCGUUUAUCAUUUUAGUCCUUAAAAUGUAUCUUUAGUGAUGAUUUAUUAAUAUUAUAAAAUGUGAAAUAACUGGUACAAACUUUUUUACAUCUCAAUCAACCAACAAAUCCGUCCAAAAGUUAGAAUCUCUUCCAUCUCUUAUGACCUUUCUUAAAUUUCCCUCAAAUCACCCCGGUAAUGAUGAUAUAGACCUUAAAUCCCUCCACCAAACUGAACCAAUGUUUCUUACCAAAUUCAAACUAUCAUCAUAUUUGGCGUUUGUCUUUUAGCCCUAUUUUCUAAACAAACAAACAAACAUAAAUAAGUUGUAAAAAAGAGAGAAUUGAACUUAAAAUCUUAAGAUGAGUGUACUUUAUGAUCUCAAAUCAAUACCACGAGACACACUCAAAUGAGUUUCCACUUUCUAUUUCUCAUUGUUUCUAAUCUAUCCAUCCAUGAAGCACAAUACUCCUCGGGUUAAGGGUGUGUCCCGGUGUGAAAUAUGUAUCGUGUCCCACACCAACACCGACACCGACACAUAUCUCCGUGUCGUAACUGCAUCUGAGUUUGUGCUUCACAUCCUUCCAUCAACAUCAAUUCUAAGAGUAUUUUACAGAUCCACAUCCUAUGCAAGAAAUCACCCUUUCAUUGACCUUGCGAGUGUAUAUCCCCUCAAUUCUAUCCCAAAGCUUUAAAACAAUCAAGGAGCUCAAUUAUGCUUUGAGAAGACACUAACUAAUAGUAACUAAGGUCAUGGAAAUGGGAAGUGAAGUCAUUGAAACUCAACAAGACAUCAUUAAGUUGCUCCCACAAUGAAAUUGGAUCAAAUUCAAAACAAUCUCCAUCAUGAUCGUAAUAUGGAAUUAAGGAUGUGAUUUUGUGAUACAAUUUUUUUUGUUUCUUUCUUCAAAUUUACAGUAACUCUUUACAACUAUUACACACAUAUUUAAUAAAAUUUUACAAGCUUGUUGAAUUUCAAAAUUCAGUUUUAAGAUGAAAAUCAUACCCAUGAUAUCAAUAAAACUUCACUCCAAUUCAAAAUUAACUCGAUAUAUACACUUUUGAAAUAUAUAAAAAAUAAAUAAAAACAUCUUAUUGUAAACUUAUUUUUGAUUAAAUCUUAUAAGAUUUUAACAUAAAAAAUCAAUGUAAAUAGUUAUUCUAAAAAUAUCAUAUUAUAUCUAAAAUUUAUACUAUAUAUAAAGAAAACUACCCCUUUCAGCAUUUUAGGGUUGUAUUUUUUCUUCCAAAAAUACCCUAAAUUUUCAAAUACAAAUAACACAUGUAACAAACAAAUAGAUAAAAAUAAAUUUAAUAUUAAAACAAAUAUAACAAACACGAUAUGAAUAUAUAUAUAUCUUUGGUUUUUUUUCUUUUUCAUUUAAUAAGUGUAACAAACUAGAUGAGGAUAUUUAUACUUACUUUUACAUUAUUUCAAUUAAAUCCUCAAACAACUUUUUCUAUAAUAAAUAUUGUUAUUGGUUUCAUUAAAAUAAAAGAAUUUUAGAUUAUAUUUUUUUUGUUAUAUUGUUGGUGUAAUUGAAAUAGAUAAUCAUGGUUAGAUUGCUUUGUUAUAACUUGAAAAUAACAAACAUUUAUAUUUUUAAUUUUAAUCAAAAUAAAAUUUCAUAAAAAACAUCGUUCAUAAUUUUCAAAUGUUAGCGCAAUAAAAAGAGCGGAAAGACAGACAGGUGAGUGCCCGUCUUUUCGCUAGUCAUCAAUAAUGUAAGUGUACUGAAGUUUUAUCCAUUCUCAAGUUAUAUCACUGCCACAAAUUGUUCUAAACAAUUGUUUCAUUUAAUUAAGAAAUGUUAAAUAAGUCCCUUAAUAAAAAAUGAGAAUAUUUAACUGAAAAUUGAUUGGCGGUUUCACUCGCUAUCGGCAUUUGGUGGAACACCUUAAUCUUACUUAUCGGUAGACCUUUCCGUGGUCCAAUUCUUAAUUAAAGUAUCGAUUAUUAGGACUUAAGUCCAUGAGAAGAGCCUCAUGGUUUAAAUGACGCAUCAAGCACUUUGGUCUACUUGAUUUGGGACUCCUAACAUAUUCUUUGCAGCUAUAACAACGUUUCUUCGCAGCUUGAUAAGAUUUUGUGGCGGUAGUUUACGUGAUUUUUUUCUUCGAUAUAUUAAAACGGAAAACAAAGGUAUCAGACACUACCUAUACCUCUUUGCCAUAUCCAUUUUUAUGAUUACUGAUUGUAUUUUUAGAACCUUGGCAACUACUACCUCUGUCGUAAAUUAUAAGUUGUUUUGGUCAUUUCACACGUAUUAAAAAUUGAAAUUAAUUUGUAUAUGAAAGAGAUAUUAUGAGUUGCUUUACACAAUUAUCUUAAUAAAUAGUAUCAGAAAAAUAAAUUAAAGAAUUGAAAUGAGUAAUAUUAAUAAAUAGUUAAGAGUAUAAUAGAAAAAUUAUUACUAAUGUUUUUAUUGUUAUUGUAAAACAAUUUAUAAUUUGAGACAACUUUUUUUCCAUACUUAUAAUUUGAGACAGAGAGAGUAUUAAACUAAUAAUGUUCACAUACGUAUUUAGUCUUGCAAGAUAACAUUAGCAUUUGUCAUAUGUAAUCUUCUCUAGUCAACUUCAAAUCUUUCUUGUGCUUCGAGGAAAUUUUUUGCAAUUGAAAAGUCCCAUCUUUUAGUAUAAUAAUAUAAAGUGAAUACAGGAAUUUGGGGCAAGACUGAAAAGUCCCAAUAUAAUGAUUCUUGCUUGAAAAAAAAGACACUUACAAAACUGAAUGAUAUGUUAUCAUAUUUUUCGGGUAACAUCUUGCAAUUUUUACGAGUUUAAUUUAUAUGUGCCAUCAAUUUAAAGACUUUUUUAUGAUAACUACUUCUAAAAUUAUAGAUAUGAUUGAAUGUGAUUUGUUAAUAAUUUAACUUUUUUUACAUUGACGAUGUAUAUCAAAAUUAACUAUGGCUAUAUCAAGGUUUAUUAUAUCAUAGUUUAAAAAGUGAAUACUUUUUCCUCUCCUCACUGAUUCCUUAUUUUGUCCGAUGUAGGAAGGUCCCGAAAGUUUUCAGUUUGAAGAGAACAAGAAUUUUUGGGAGUUCUGAUUUUCCUUUCCCUAUUAGCUCAGGAAUGGAAAAUUCAUAUAAAAAAUCUAGGCAAUGGCUAAAACAGCAUUUUAAGUAUAAUAGAUGAGGAAAAAAAGCAUAAUAGAAGAAAAAAAAUUAAGAUUUAUUGAUAUUGGAAAAAAUUAAGAUUUAUUGAUAUUGUAAAAUGAUAUAUAAAUGGGAGAAAAAAAGUAAAUUGGGAGAAUUUUACUUCUUAUAACUUUAAUAAUCUUAUUUUAAACUGGUUAAACUUUUCUUAAUGACCGACGUUAGUAUAGUUAAUUACUUACCAUACUAUUUGUUAGAGGGAGGAGUUGAAUAAAUGACCUCUUUACCACUCAAUCCUUAUUGAAAGUAAUACGUAUUUAAAUAUCAUGUAAGAUAAGUUUAGCAUCUUUCUUAAAUGUCAUCAUCUCUAGUCAACUCCAAGUCUUUCUUUUGCUUGGAGGAAGUUUCUUGUAAUAGAAAAUAUCCCAUAAUUUUAGUAUAUAUAAUAUAAUAAUAUGAGAUGAUUAUAUGAGGUCGGGAAGAACUGCUCACAUUCCUAAAAAAAAUGAAGCUGGGUUUGAUAAAUAGUUUCCUUUUAUAUUUUGUGACAUUGAUGUUAAUGCUAACUCAAGGAUGUAACGGUUGCUUAGAGAAAGAGAGAAUAUCAUUGUUGGAGAUCAAACACUACUUCUUGUCACAAACAGGAGAUCCUUACAAUAAAUUGGGUUCAUGGGUUGAUGAUAGAGAUAGCAAUUGUUGUUCUUGGAACAAUGUCAAGUGCUCUAACAUCUCUUCGGGUCACAUAAUUGAAUUAUCCAUCCGAAAGUUACUAUUCGAUAUACCCUUUGAUAUGAAGUUAAAUGUUUCACUAUUCCGUCCAUUUAAAGAGCUACGGCUCCUCGACUUGUCCUACAACUCCUUUCUAGGCUGGAUUGGCAACGAAGGUACUACGUUCGUCCUUAUAUAUAAAAUUUCUUUAAUAAACUUAUACAAAUUAAAAAAGUUCAUUAAUUUUUAUUUGUUGUGUUAAAUUUAUUAACAUUUUAAUUUAUAUUGUCAUAAUUAGCAAUAAUUGACGGGUGAGUUUAAGUUUUCUAAAAAAGAUUGUUAUUUUACAACAUGAAAAUUCAAUGUUCAAAUCUCAAUUAAGAGAGAUGUCAGUACUUUCUAUUUAUUACAAUAUCUUAUAUACGAAUUAAAAAUCAAUGAUCUUAUAAAAUUUGGUGGGAUCAAUAUAAAUUUCAACCAAUACAAACAUAAGUGUUGUAAAUAGUAUAUCACUAGCAUAAUUAAAAAAUACAUAAUACAAGAGAGAAUUUUCUUAUAGGUACAAGAGAGAUAUUUUUACUGAAGCCUUUUAUAGUGUUGUAAAAAGUGUGGUAAAUAGUGUGUUACUAGCAUAAUUAAAAAAAUAUUGUUAUAUUUGUCGUUGUAUCCAUCAAUUUGGUCUCUCUAAGAUAGUCUCAGAUACUAAUUAAAACUAUGAAAGUGUUUAUAAUUUUACGAUGAUUUUAUAAAUUCUUUAAUUUUAGGAUCGAGCUCUGUAAUUUUUUAGGCCAAUUGAGGGAUUAAUUUUUCUAUUUUAUUGUUCUCUUUCAUUUAUUAAUUUUUCUAUUUCAUGGUUCACUGUUUUUUUGUUCUCUUUCAUUUUUCAUGACUUUUGUUUCCAUAUUGUAACAAAUUUAAAAAUAAACCAUUGACAUAAACAUUUUUCAUUAAUCACUGUAUUUUCCCUUCAUUUUUCGUGACUUUUAUUUCUCUUUUGCAACAAAUGCUGAAAUAAACUAUUAACAAGAAACUGUUUUCAUUAAUCAUGUUUCUUUUGAAGGGUUUCCUAGACUUAAAAGAUUGGAGACAUUAGAUCUUUCAGGGAACUAUCUAAAUAGUAGCAUUUUGCCAAGUUUGAAAGGAUUGACUGCUCUGACAACUUUGAAGUUGGUUUCCAAUUCGAUGGAAAACUUCUCUGCUCAAGGUACAUUUUGUUUCAAUAAUUUAUUUAUGGAGUUUAUGUGAUGAAGUGAAUGAAUUAGAAUACAAUUAUAAGAUCCCCAAGAAAAUAUAAUUUUUAACGAUAAUAAGAGACUUUAAAUAAAAUGAAAAAGUGGUUAUGAAUCAUCGGUAGGAAUUGAAAUUAAUUAACAAAAGCUUUUCAUUAUGUAUAUAUAUUGUUGAAGGAUUUUCGAGAUCAAAGGAGUUGGAAGUCUUAGACCUUUCAGGAAAUAGGCUAAAUUGCAACAUAAUAACAAGUUUGCAUGGAUUCACAUCAUUAAGGAGUUUGAUUCUGAGUUACAACAACUUCAAUUGUUCUCUCUCCACUUUAGGUAAACAUCUUCAAUUCUUAUAUUAUGACGAAUGAUUUUAUUAUCAUUUAUUAAAAAGAAAUAAAUUAUGUCCUUGCAACAGAUUUUGCCAAAUUUAGUCGGCUAGAACUAUUGGACUUGGGUGGUAAUCAAUUUACUGGUUCUCUACAUGUUGAAGGUACUUUUACUGUUAUUGUUGUUUCAAAUAUUACAAAGAAACACAAAAUUUAUUAUUACUAUUUAUGGCAAAACAAUUUAUAUAUAGGAAAAUUUCUUCUAUUUGAGAAAUUCAGACUUUGUUUAGGAAUUUAAAAUCCACAUUAUAAAUCAUAUUCUCAAUAGAAACUCUAAGUUAAUGAGUUUACAAUCUCUAAUUAAAUUCAAUAAAAUAAUUCUCCACACAAUUCGCCACAUUAUAAAUCAUAUUCUCAAUAGAGGCUUCCAUAAAUAUUUCCACAAACCUGCAUUCUCAUCCAAAGGUGGUUAUGGACUUUGUCUAGCCAUUUCCUCUUUGACGCGAUAGUAUGCCGACUUCAAUGAGUAAAUGCCAUCGUUAUGCAAAAUUAAGUUCAGGAAAAACGUGAGUAAUUUUGGCAGAAUAAAAAUAACAAAGACAUCAAGCCUCAAUUCUAUCAAUAAUAUAACCUUAUCGUUUAAUGCUAAUACUUUGACACCAAGUCAAACAUAAUCUGUUCUUCAAAAAUAAUAGUCAAACAUAAUUUGAAUUUUUUUUUGGGGAAUAGUUCUUACCGAUUUAUUUAUUGAAAAUUAUAUCUCUAACUAUGUACUCUCUUUUUUUUUCUUCUGCAGAUGUUCAACAUUUGAAAAAUUUGAAAAUGUUAAGUUUAAACGAUAAUCAAAUGAACGGCUCAAUUGAAGGUAUCAAUACUACCAAACACAAAUAAUUAAUUCAUAAUUGCUUCACGGGAUGGUUUUGGGGAUCGAUUGUUACAAUGAAGAUAACUUUUUUUUUUAUUUUAAAUUUUAAAUAAUUAACAAAAACAACGAAAUAAGUUAAUUAAUGUAUAUAUUGACGCCAUUGGAAAAACUUUUAAGAUUUUUAUGAUAAUGUCAAUUUUUGUAAAGAUGACAGGACAUAGUUAAUUAUGACAGGACUAUGCAAUUUUAAGGAUUUGGUAGAACUGGAUAUCAGCAAAAACAUGUUUAGUGCUAAACUUCCAGAUUGUUUAAGCAACUUAACAAACCUCAGAGUUCUUGAACUUAGUAAUAAUCUGUUCAGUGGAAAUUUUCCAUCUUUCAUUAGCAAUCUCACAUCACUGGCAUACUUAUCCUUCUAUGGAAAUUACAUGCAAGGAUCAUUUUCAUUGAGCACUUUGGCUAAUCAUUCCAAUCUUGAGGUUCUAUAUAUUUCAUCAAAAAACAAUAUUGGAGUAGACAUUGAAACUGAAAAAACAAAGUGGUUUCCUAAAUUUCAAUUGAAGUCACUUAUUGUUAGAAAUUGCAACCUAAACAAGGACGAAGGAAGUGUCAUUCCUACUUUUCUUUCAUAUCAAUAUAAUUUGGUAUACUUGGUCCUCUCCAGCAACAAUAUAAAUGGCUCACUCCCAAGUAAUUGGUUGAUACAUAAUGAUGACAUGAUAUAUUUGGAUAUAUCAAACAACAAUUUGAGUGGUUUGCUUCCAAAAGAUAUCGGUAUAUUCCUUCCUAAUGUUACCUAUUUGAACUUUUCAUGGAAUAGCUUUGAAGGAAAUAUACCUUCAUCAAUUGGUAAGAUGAAACAACUUCAACUCUUGGACUUCUCUCAAAAUCAUUUCUCAGGUGAGUUACCUAAACAACUGGCCACAGGUUGUGAUAAUUUACAAUACUUGAAGCUCUCCAACAACUUUCUACAUGGGAACAUUCCAAGAUUUUGUAAUUCAGUGAAUAUGUUUGGGUUAUUUCUUAAUAAUAACAACUUUAGUGGAACACUUGAAGAUGUAUUAGGAAAUAAUACAAGAUUAGAAACGCUGUCCAUAUCCAAUAAUUCAUUCUCAGGCACAAUUCCUAGUUCAAUUGGGAUGUUUUCUAACAUGUGGGCCCUUCUUAUGUCUAAAAAUCAAUUAGAAGGUGAGAUCCCUAUUGAGAUUUCCAGCAUAUGGCGGCUUCAAAUUUUAGAUCUUUCUCAAAACAAGUUAAAUGGAUCAAUCCCACCUUUAAGUGGUUUGACUCUUCUAAGGUUCUUGUAUUUGCAAGAGAAUGGUCUCUCUGGAUCAAUCCCAUAUGAACUCUAUGAAGGCUUCCAACUACAACUUCUAGAUUUGAGGGAGAACAAAUUUUCAGGAAAAAUUCCCAACUGGAUGGAUAAGUUCUCAGAAUUAAGGGUCCUUUUAUUAGGAGGGAACAAUUUUGAAGGAGAAAUUCCAAUGCAGUUGUGUCGGUUAAAAAAGAUCAACAUAAUGGACUUAUCACGAAACAUGCUCAAUGCUUCCAUACCAUCUUGCUUUCGAAAUAUGUUAUUUGGAAUGAGACAAUAUGUUGAUGCUGUUUUUGACCUCUCAUCCAUCUUAUAUGGCCAACAUAUACAAGACACACAUUAUUUCUUCGAUUCUAGUUUGUCGAUUGAUCUUCCAUUGGAAAAAGAUCAAUUGAUUGAAGAUCUACUACAUUUGGAAGUGGAGUUCAGAACAAAGCACUAUGAAUACUUUUACAAGGGUAAAGUUCUAGAGAAUAUGACUGGAUUGGAUUUAUCAUGCAAUAAGCUAACAGGUGUCAUCCCUUCUCAAAUUGGAGACCUACAACAAAUUAGAGCCUUGAAUCUAUCACAUAAUCACUUGUCAGGUCCCAUUCCAAUCACUUUUUCAAAUCUUACCCAAAUAGAGAGUCUUGACUUAUCAUACAAUGACUUGAGUGGUAAGAUACCCAAUGAACUAACCCAGCUAAACUUUUUGUCAACCUUCAAUGUGUCAUACAACAACCUUUCUGGAACACCACCUAGUAUAGGCCAGUUUGCAAACUUUGAUGAGGAUAACUACAGAGGUAAUCCCAGUCUUUGUGGACCACUCCUCAGUCGAAAGUGUGAACGUGUCGAGCCUCCACCAUCAUCCCAAUCCAAUGACAAUGAAGAAGAGGAAACUGGUGUGGACAUGAUAACAUUUUAUUGGAGUUUCACAGCAUCUUACAUAACAAUACUAUUGGCCUUCAUAACAGUGUUGUGCAUCAAUCCACGUUGGCGCAUGGCCUGGUUUUAUUACAUCAGUAAGUUUAUGCGUAGAUUCUUUCCAACUUUUCCAUUGUAUUGAAGAGUGGCCAUAGUUCCUGUUGAAACAUUAUGUGGAGUCUCAAAUAUUUGCAUAUUGUAAUUUUUAUAUUUACCUUUAAUUUCAGACAAUUUGAUGUUCGUUUCCUUUUGUGUUAUGUACUUAUCUGGAGUGCUUUGAAGCUAUUGUUAUAAAUUAUUGUUGUUUUUCCAACAUAUUGAAUCUAUCACAGAAUACCUUCCUUACAAGUUAUGCUUGCAGGGUGUGAAACAGAGGCGCUGUGAUAAAAGGAAACAUAUAUCAUUUGUCUCUAAUUAUAAAGCACUCGUUGGAAAAAUAAUUUCUCAUUAGGAAGAAGUUUUCACGACCUCUUUGCAAGAUUCAUACAGUCACGGUUUAAAAUAACGGUUAAGUCGUGUUAGGAUUUUGCGAUUUUGAUUGUUACGUGUAAGGGUUUGCACAAUUGAGAAUGUGAUAGAUGUCUAAUCUCAAAUUAAUUAUGAAAUCAAAGGUAGAAGUGAUAGAUGAAAACCUAAUUAAAAUUGGUCUUUUUAGUACAUAAAGAAAAAGAUAAAAGAAGAAAGGAGAGAUUUAAGUCAUUACUCUACAUGAGAGUACUAAAGAGAGAGGAGAGAUUUCAACAAUUUUCUUUAUACCUAUUAUUGAUCACCAUUUUCCUACUUAUGUGCGAGAGUUAACUUAAAAUCAAGAUCUGCAGGAAUCAUGACAUGAUUGCUGGGCAACGUGGCACGAUUGGAGAUUUCAAGUUUGAGGCAAAGCUCUGGAAAAAUCGUGGCACGAUGGGAUCACAUCGUGGCACGAUGGUGCGCUGGCAGCGAAAAACAGAAACAUAUUUUUGAGUGCAGAUUUGUUCCAAAUUUUAAGCGAUACUUUUACUAUAAAUAUAGACCUUGUAUCAGAGCAAACUUUGAGAUAGAGGGGGCUGAAACAAGGGUUUAGAAAGGCAACAACAAAACUAGGAUUUGUAUAGAGUUUGUCUCUUUGGAACAAACACUAGGUUUUGAGGGUUGAUUCACUUUGGGAAACACUAUUAGGAUUGAGUCUUUUGGUUACGGGAAGAGAUUGGGGCUUUGUGUAGAAUUAGGCGGGAGACUUAUUCUUGUAACCCAUUGAUUUCUCUUUUGUAACGAUACUCAUCAUAUAGUGGAUUGGAGGGCUGCUCUCUCCCCCAGACUAGGUCAAUUUGGACCGAACUGUGUCAACAAAUUCUUUUGUGUUCUUCUCGCCGUUGUUUUUCUACUUUUGGCUUGUAUUUAAUUGUUCCAUACACUUUGUUUUGGUUGCUUGAUUAUCCAUUGCUCCACACAUCAAGUUAUUAUUGGUGUGAUUUUCAUCGAAUUCACAACAUUAUGCAUAAUCCAAGCUUCCAUGAUUUUUUAAUCACUAGCCACAUGUCCAUUUGCCUCAACCAAUUAUGUUAUGCCGAGUGUAUUUUCUCAUGUUAUUUUCAAUCAUAACAUUGCACAAAUAUUAUUAAAAUUAUUUAUAUUAUCAUAUAAUGUAUAAUAACUUAAUUUCUCAUUGUUUCUUCAUAAUUUCAUUACUAUAAUUCUUUUCAUAAUUUUGUAAUGAAUUUUUUCUUAUAUAAACAAAAUUAACCUCUAAUAAAUUAGGUUGUAAUGUUUUAGAAGAGACAAGACCACAAAAAUUAAAUGAGACAAUAAAUGUAUGUUCCCUACCGUUCGUUGCAGCCGUAACGACGUUUCGUCGUCGCAUAAUAAAAUUUUUCUUUCGUUGUUUAUUUGAUUUUUGUUCGCUAUUGUUAUCGCGAUUUUCGGGUGUCAAGUCAUUAAUUAGGCUUGAACCUUUCAAUCUUUGAUAUUCUCUAUUUUUUCUUGGGAAGGGCAAAAUUGAGAAAAAACCCUUGGAUUCUAAGUUCGGGGGUCGUUUUCACUACGGGAAGGUGUUAGGCACCCGCGGUGACUAUAGUACUCUAUAGGAGCUGUUUUCUUAGUUUAUGUCUACGCUUUAUUUUUAAUGCUGUUUAUGAAAAAGGAAAUUUAUUUAUGUUAAGAAUGGGGGAGAAAGUGUUUGAGGUUUUAUUUUAGUGGACUUGGAGAGGUUUUGACCUCAUGCCUACAUACCCAUUUAAGGGAUCAAACUCCAUGUAGUUCUCUUUCAAAAAUGUUUUUUGUGUGUUUGGUUGAUUUUAGUUUUUGUUGGAAAAUGGUUUUGAAGAAGAGAAAGAGGCCUUAAAGGCAUAAGAGAAGAAAAUGGUGAAUGGUUGGUUCAAUUGUUAUUAAAAAAGUCUAAGUAGGAAUUAGGAUUCAUUUGGAUUUGGUUAAGAAAAUAAAGGAAAAAAUUCAAUGGAGUUUUGACUCCAAGGUUUGUUUGAAAAAAAAAUUGAGUGAUGGAAUUUAUUAUUUAUUUUUUUUUGAAAUUGGCAUUUGUCUAAAAAUCGCGUUUCCUAAGCAUACAUCUAAACGGUAAACAUGCAACGUGUGUGCGUGUCGGUGCUUGUGUCGGUGUACAUCAUUAGAGUCCAUUGUCCUUUACACUUUGCCCUAGUUUACAUGCUAUGGUCUUGCGAGUAAUUAAAAGAAAGCUAAUCUACCUAAAAUUAUUACAAACCCAUUUGAUAUAGAAAUGAAUAGAAAAAAAAAAGCCUAAACUAUGAGAUGGAUGAAAUAUGAAAUGAAAUGGUUAGUAUCAUAAGGCAUAAAAAAUGGUAAAAAGGGUAAACAAAAUUGAAUAGAAUAGCAAAAAAGAAAAGAGCAAUGAAAUGAAAUAAAAUGACAAAAUAUACCUAGAAUUAGGUAUAACACUUAGACAUGCAUAUGGCUUAUAAUUCCCUCAUCAUAGCCAUUUUUAAAAGAGAUUUGAUUUUAAGCUACAAUGUGAGGAUCAUAAGAACACACACAAGCAAAGCAUCAUACCAUAUUCCUAGAGAUAUUUUUACACAUUAUUUAACAUAGUAAAAAAAACAAAAAUAUCACAAAAUAUCAAAAAAUGCACCAAGAACAAAUAGGAAUUUAAUGAGCAAGAAUUGAAAAGAACAAAUGAAGAAAAUAAAUGCAAAAAAUAAGCAAGUAAAUUCUAACAUUUAGAAAAAAAUUAAAAUGAUAGGGAAACAUUUUUAGAAAAUUUUAGGAGCAUAAAAUGCCAAGAAAGUGUAAAAAAAGUAAUUUAAAACACAAUAAAAAAAGCAAUUAAAAAAAAAACUACAGCAGGUUAUAAUCUGGACCGUUGGAUGAAUCCAGAGGUCCAGAUCUAACUCCCAAGAUCUCAUCACAGCCACUGGAUCAAAGAUCCAAGGGUUAAAAAAAACAACAAAAAGAUAGUGUAAAAUUGCAGGAAGCACAAUGACCGUUAGAUCAAAGAUCUAACGGUUCAAACACAAGAUAUACCAUAUUUCACACAGAAGAUCACACACAUGAUUCAAGAUCAAAACACACAGCAGCCAUCAGAUCUUGGAACGAUCCAGAUCUGAUGGUUCACAAUACGAGGGAGCACAGCAAGAGCACGCAUGCGCGCGCGUGCGAACAGAGGAGUAUAAAAAGGAGUUUCAAACAAAAAAAAAAAACAAAAGUUCUCAAAAAUCCUCUCUCUUCUUUGGAUUCUAGAGAGAGAGAGUCUGACCUCUCUCUAGAAUCCGGUCAUCUUCUCCGGCGUAACCAGCUUCUCCGGCGCGGUGGCCGGCCACCGGUAAAUUUUUUUUUGGCUCCGAUUCAAAUUUUUUUUUACAUUUUUUAAACAUCCUUUUUUCUCCUAUGCAUGAAUCUGAGCUUAGUUUUUUGAAAAAGAAUUUCAACCGGAGUAGAUCUGAGUUUGAAGUCGCGGUUUUGAAAAAAAAUUUUAGGUUUGAAAUUUUCUUGACUCAAAUCCUUUUUAUCUUUCUCGAUCUGUAACGAUUCACUUGCGUUGAUGCUUUUCGAGAAAGAAAGAUGAAGUUUACGUGUUUACCUCUGGUUUAGUUGGAGAUUUCGAACUGAGAUCUUUGAGAAACUUGAAUCUUGGUGCUGCUUGUUGAUUUUUGUGUGAAAACCGAAAAUAAAUCGGUGUUCUUGCUGGUUUGAUUCUUUCUUCUUCUUCACCGGUUCAGAUUCCUGUUUCUUUCCUUCUUCUUCUUCACUGAUUCUCUGUGAUCGGUGCUUGAGUUUCCCAAUGGCGAAUUCGCGCCUUGAAUUGCAGAGAAUCCGGUUCAAUGAUGAUGAUUGUUUGAAGAAUCACUGAGAACUGAACGAAUUUAGUUGAAAUUGUUGAUGAAUUGUGAUUCUGGAAUUCUAGGGUUCAUGAAUGUUCUUCAUGUUCUUGAUAGUUUCUGAGUUUUUGAUCUAACUGAAUGGAGAGAGAAACUGUGAUUCUGUUUGUUGAGGUGGCGUGAAUUGUGUGGAUUCCUCUGGAAAUUCUGACACUGUGUUGUAUUUAUAGCUGACAUGUGUACUUGAGAUCUAAUGAAAUGGUGACAUCUGUCUUUUGUGAAGAAGGCUCGGCCUUGGACUGAAUUUUUGACUUAGGGACCUUUCUGCAAAAAGAAAAAUUAAAAGGACUAAUCUGCAAUUAUGAAAAAAGGACUUUAAAAUGCAAUUUGGAAAAGUAUUGGACUAAAAUGCAAUUUUAGAAACUGUUUCAGGGACUAAAAUGCAAUAAUAAUAAAAAAAAUAAAAUUGGACUAAAAUUGGUAAAUUGGACAAAACGUAAAGUGAAACCAAAAAAUAAAAAUCAACAAAAGGACUAAAAUGAACCAGCUACAAAAAUGAGGUAUUUUAAAAUACCUCUCUGCCGAAGUUUUGACAGGAAAAGACCAAAAUGCCCCUAGGGACUAAACUGACUCAAACUGACUCAGAUGCAAUUUUUGAAAUGAUUUUUAAACAAAGACUCAACAAUGAUUUGUACAGACAAAUUGAAAAGACUCAGAGGCAAACACAGGGACUAAAAUGGGUUCCAAUGUAGGAAAUGACCAAAAUACCCUUUUGUAUGAUUUUUGAAAUAAAAUGCAAGAAAAGUAACGCGACGUUUCAGAGAGUUCUUAAAUGACUUGUAAUGUCAGAAAAGACAGAGGCAGUAAAAUACGUUUAAAAGAGAGUAAAGAUUCAGAGUAAAAUAACAGAGAAUUGACAAAUAUCAGUGUUAAAAAAGAAAUUUGAACGAGUAUUUUUAGGUCCAAAAUCAGGGUAUAACAGCUAUGUUAAAACGGAGAAAGGUAUCAGACACAACCUGUACCUUUUUGCGGCGGCCAUUUUCACAGCACAAUCUCACAUCCUUGACAUACUUGAAACUCUGAAAAUCACACGCAAGGACCAUUUUCAGUAAGCACUUUGGCUAAUCACUUCACGCUUCAGGAUCUAUAUAUUUCCUCAGAAAGCAUUGGAGAACACAUUGAAACUUAAAAAACAAAGGAAGAGUCAUUCCUAGUUUUCUUUCAUAUAAUAUAAUUGGUUAAAAUAUGGUUUUGGUCCCUGCAAAUAUGCCUCGUUUUUGGUUUUAGUCCCUAGUAAAAAAAAAAUUUGUUUGUUUUUGGUCCGUGCAAAAUAUUUUGUUUUUGGAAAUAGUCCCUGGGACUAUUUCCAAAAACAAAAUAUUUUACAGGGACCUUUUUCAAAAUCAAAAGAUUUUGCAGGGACUAUUUCUCUAAUAAAUGGGUUCAGUCAUCAUGUGUCACAUGUGCAAAUCAUCACAAAAGUGGAGCCAGAGACCAAAACCAAAAUGAGGCAUAUUUGCAGGGACCAAAAACAACAAAAAUAAUUUGCAAGGACUAAAACCAAAACAAGACAUAUUUGCAGACCUUACCAGAAACAAAAUAGUUGGCUCAUUCCCAAGUUGGUUGAUACAUAAUGAUGAUAUACAAUAUUUGGAUAUAACAAAUAAUAUUUUAGGUGGUUUCCUUCCUUGGUUUAUCUAUUUGAAGUAGUCGUGGAAUAGCUUCGAAGGAGAAUGAUCUCGCUGGAUCUAUACCAUUUGAACUGUCUGGAAGUUCACAGCUGAAACUUUUAGACUUGAGGAGAACAAAUUUUCAGGUAACAUUCCCAACUGGAUGGAUAAUCUUUCAGUGCUCAAUGCAAAAAUUAUCAACAUGAUGGACCUAUCACGGAACAUGCUCAAUGCUUCACUUGGAACGAGACAACAUGAUGUCGAGUACAGUCCUAUGGCAGAAUGAUAUACAUUUGGAAGUAGAGUUCAGAACAAAGCACAAUCAAUGAUUACUUUUACAAAGGUAAAGUCCUAGAAGAUCUAAUUUACUCUAUUUGAGUAUACAUUUGUCAUAGAAGAUCACAAGGCGUGCAGACUUAGCAAUAUUAAACACUGCUUAUGAACUUAAUAUCAGACAUAUCUUUAUGCAUAUAAACAUUAUUUUUAUUCGUAUAGUCCUAAUGUAAGGAAAAAUGUGUAUGUAAUGUUUAUUAAAAUUCUGAUCGUGUUUCUAAGUUUAAACACCAUAAUUCGUGCCAUAUAUAUAGUUUGCACAUUGAUUCCCCUCUCUAAGAGUGUGAGAAACCGUUACAUUGAUUUGUUGAAGCAUUUGUUUUAUGUCUUGUAUGAUAACAGCAUAGAUAUGGAACCUCUCAAUGGGGCCAUAUAUAAGGUUGAUGCAAGCAAGAGAAUCAGAAUAGCAAGAAAGUUCUGCAUAUCCCAAAUCCUUUGCCAUGAUCAGCCCGUGAUAGAUAGCAGAAAGAUCACCUAGCAAGAUGUCAUCUGAACCUGGAAUCCAACUAGAGAAGCCUGAAAGGAAUAUACCUGCAUGAGUACGCAAGACUCCACCAAACCCGGUUUUGAUAGGAGAACCGUGGCAACUUCCAUCCACAUUAAGAAUAGCACCUGAAAAAUUGUUAUUAUUUCCAUCUAAUGUACCUGUUAGUUGUAAAAGCAGAAGCAGAAGGUGAAUAGUUGAUUACAAUGCUUUCAAUCGAAUUUUUGAUCUUACAAGCCAGGCGAUGUAAAGACCAAGUUUCACCACCCAAACACAUAAGGUUUCGAUGUCGCCAAGACCACCAAACUCCGACAUAAAAAGUGAUAGCAUGGGAACCCUUAGUUCCCCCUUUUAGUUGUUAAUGUUAAAUGAGUUUGAAUUUCAUCCCAAAAGUUAUCUUAAAGAUAAAGUGUUAAAAAAUUCACUUUUAAGAUGUGAACUUAAGUUAUGUUUGAAAUUUGAUUUCUUCGGUUGUGGGAGUUUGACUUUCAUUUAGGUGUUGAAUUUGGUUUUAGUGGUUAGCUUUCUUAUUGGUGUCGGUGAUAGCAAUCAGUUAGGGGUGUUUAUAUUUGUGUUUUUAUAAUUUUAUUUUAGGUGUUCAACCUAGAUAUGACAACAUAGUUUUAUUGUUUAUGUUUAGUCGAUUUUUGUUCAUCUUGUGCAAUACCGAUUGCACCAACUAAAAUACUCACAAUCAUAGCGGCCGUAGCAACAAUUUAAAAUCAUAAUUUACAUCACAUUGUCAUUUAUUUUUGACAAGUCCAUCACAUUAUCAUAACACCAAUAAAAUAAAUAUUUAUGUACUAUUCUUUGGUACACCAUAAACACGUGAAGGUACAAAAAUAUUAAACUGGAAAAAAAUGAAUAUUGAAACUUUCCAACGGUUUAGAUAUAAAUGUAACGUUAUUUGACUAUGAAUAAAUGUUGAAAGCAACUAUAUUAAACUAAUAUGUUCAAACAAGUGAUUAAUUGCAUGCAAGAUAAGUUUACCAUUUUUGUCAAAUAUCAAUUCUAUGUCUUUCUUGUGCUUCGUGGAAGUUUCUUUAGAAUAAAAACAUGUCUCAUCUGUUAGUGCUAUAUAUAAUAAUAUAAGGGGAUUGAUUGAUUACACAAUAUACAUACAUUUCUAAAAAAUGAAGUUGGGUUUGAUAAUUAGUUCCCUUUUUUAUUUUAUGACAUUGAUGUUAAUACAAAAUGAAGGAUGUAACGGUUGUGUAGAGAAUGAGAGAAUGGGGUUGUUAGAGAUCAAGAAGUACAUAGUGUCACAAGUAGAAUAUUAUAAUAAAGAAUUGAGUUCAUGGGUUGAUGAUAGAGAUCAUAGCAAUUGUUGUUCUUGGAAAAGAGUCAAGUGCUCUAACUUUUCUUCUGGUCACAUAACUAAACUAUCCAUUCAAGGAUUACUAUUUGCGACCCCUCAUCCAAAUAUGUUAAAUAUUUCACUGUUCCGUCCAUUUGAAGAGUUACGUCUUCUCGAUUUGUCCUUGAACGGGUUUCGAGGUUGGAUUGGCAACAAAGGUACUAUAAAAGUUGGUUAAUUUUGAUUUCUUGCGUUAAAUCUAUUUUCAUUAGCUAGUAUUUAUGAUAUCUUGCAUCCGAGUUCAAACUUCUCAUAGCUUACUUUGCAUUUUUUUUUAAAGGUUUUCCUAGACUAAAAAAGUUGGAGACAUUAGACCUUACAAACAACAAUCUAAAAGGCAGCAUCUUGUCAAGUUUGAAUGGAUUAACUGCUCUAAAAACUUUGAAGCUCAGUUAUAAUUCGAUAUAUAAUAACUACCCCACUCAAGGUACGUUAAGUUUUUGUAAUUUGUUUAGGCUUAAUUGCACUUUUCCUCCCUAUCUUUUGUUAAUUUGGCGAUUUUGCACCCCAUCUUUUGCCAAUUUUAUUUUGUUCAAAAUCAUCAUUAAAAGAGAGGAAAAUGGGCUAAAGAUAGGGUGCAAAAUCGCUCAGAAAAAAAGAGGGAGUGCAAAAUCGCACAAUUAGCAAAAAGAUAGGGGGAAGAAGUGCAAUUGAACACAAAGAUGGGGUGCAAAAUCAGAAAGGGGGCAAAAAGAUAGGGUGCAAAAUCGCACAAUUAAAAAAGAUAAGGGGGAAAAGUGCAAUUAAGCCAUUUGUUUAUGUGUCCGUAUUAGAGACUAUAUUUAUCUCAUUGAUUAGUUAGUGAUAUUUAACCAUAGUUAGACAUUAGUUUAGAGAUAGUGUUAGUAUACAAUUACUGAUUCUUCUUCUGUUAUAACCAUGUUUGGUUAAACUCAUGUAUAUAUACUUUGUUUCUAAUCAAUGAAAGUAAGCUCAUUUUCUAUCAUUCACAUCGCCACUCUAGGAUGACCUUGAGUAUUCUUCCCACCGUCUUUCCAAGCUGAUGUUGAGUGUUUACUGUCUAUCAGACUACCACCGAUCUACAAGGAAUCAUUACCUAGGUGAGAAACGUCACCUUCCUCAUCCCCCUAACAUGACACCAUCAGAUCACCCGCAUCCUCAUAAUGCUCAAAGACAACUUGCGUAGAGUUUUUAUUGUUCUCCGUCCAAUCCCUCUUGAAGUGACCCAUCUUGUGACACUUAUAGCACUUAUACUUUGUCUUGUUACCACUGUUUUAGCUUCCUCAGUUACCUCUACCUCCGUCAUUCCCUCUUGAAACGCUUAGGCCUUCACUAUUUUUCAUUCGCUCUCAAGUCCUUGGACUUGGUCAACUUCUUGGUUCUUAAAGCUGCUUGGACUUCCUCCAAGGUGAUAGUGUCUUCUUUUCCAUAGAGGAUGGUAUCCUGGAAGGAUUCAAAUGAUCUUGGUAGAGCACACAACAAGAGUAUAGCCUUGUCUUCAUCCUUAAGAUGCACCUCAAUGUUCUCUAAAUCAUAAAGGAUUUUGUUGAACGUCGUUAGUUGCUCCAUUACGGUCUUUAACCUCACUAUCUUAAAUGAGUAGAUUUGUUGAUUUAGGAUUUGUCUAUGAGCCAAAGACUUUGUCAUAUACAAAGACUCCAACUUUGCCCAUGCCGAUGUUGCGGUACGUUCCUUCACAACAUCCCUCAACACUUUAUCCCCGAGGCACAAUACAAUAGCACUCAUUCCUUUGUCCACCAUCUCGGCCUUCUCCUCUUGUGACAUGGUGAUCGGUAACGCUCUUUCGCCCUUCAAAGUUUUCUCACACUUUUGUUCUAUCAAAACCGCUUGCAUCAUCACCUUCAUGUUGCGGUACGUUCCUUCACAACAUCCCUCAACACUUUAUCCAUGAGGCACAAUACAAUAGCACUCUUUGCUUUAUCCACUAUCUCGGUCUUCUCCACUUAUGACAUUGUGUCCAGUAAUGCACCUUCACCCUUCAAAGCUUUCUCACACUUAUGUUGUAUCAAAACUGCUUGCAUCUUCAAUUUCCAUAACUCAAAAUCGUUACUUCCAGUGAACUUCUGAAUAUCUUACUUUGAACCCAUGGUACUCACUUAACCAAUUCACUACUUUGCGCCCCAAUGGGCGCCAAUUGUUGUUAAUGCAGACUCAAAAUCACACCAAUAUAAAUAUGGUGUGUGGAGCAAAGGAAAGUAGUAAUUGAUAUCAAAGUAACCUCAAGCAACAACAAUAUCAAACCUAGAUCUAAUUUAGGAAUCAAGUGAAAAGCACAAAACCACAUGCAACAGAUAAAUAGAGAAGAGAAACAAAUACACACCAAUAAAUGUUUACCCAAUUCAGUCCAAAUUGACCUACUCUGGGAGAGAGAUUGAUCUUUCCAAUCCACUAUCAAUGAGUUCUUACAAAUAGAUAUACAAGGGUUGCAAUAAAUUAGCUUCAACAAGUUCACAAAGAACAAACCCUAAUUUCUACCCUUUUUCCAAUCACUCCAAUGAACAAGUCACUAAAUGAUUUUCACUCACCCAAGGUGUUUACAAAUGUUUCCCAAUCCAAGAGAACCCUCACCAAAGACCCGCAACCCUAUAGUUACCUCCUUUGAUUUUCCAAAUUUCUCUCUCUUCACUUUUCACAAAUUUCAUUUUUUAGUCAAAAUUGCUACACAUUUGUUCAAAACUAGUUUCAAAUAGUUUGCUAAAGAGCAAUGAUAUUUGUACAUCCAUUCCAUGACAACUUUAGUGACAACCUUGUUUUUCUCUCUUCUUAUUGGUCAAAAACAAUGGAGAGAGAAAAAGGAAGAGAGAGGAUAAAAUCAUAAUGUGAGUAUGAGAGAGAAAGUUGUACAAAAGUUGUCACAAAUUGGUUGUACAAAUAUCAUUUCUCUUUGCUAAAAAAUUCACAUGUAUUGUCUCUCACAUGGAGUGGUACAAUAUGUGUAUGAAAAAAAGUGUGUACAUAAAACAUUAUCCUUUUAUAAAUCACAAUACAUAAAGCAAUAUGCCUUUUAUCCUUCAUUGAAACUUGGGAGUCACCCUUUGAUAUCAAUUCAAUAUUAGUCAUAUUCAUGUUUGAAGGAAAAGUACCAGUCGAAAGCCAUACACAACAUUGAGAAAUUUUUUUUUGACCACAUAUAAGCCACUCAAACCUUCUACCACCAAGAGUAAAAGAAAUAGAGUCAAGGGAUCCACUUGUUUAAGAUCCUUUGUAUGGACACUUUUUCGUUCAGAACUAGUUAACAAGGACCAAAAUAUUUGUCGCAAAACCCAAAUCUCUUCAACAUGUAGUUUAAGAAACACCAACUAACAAAAUCAUUCUUUUUCUCAAAGUCGACCUUAAAAAUCCAGCACCCCCUUCUUUGAUCUAUUGGUUAAGUAAUUUAUGUUUUUCCUUUUUUUUUAAUAGUAGAUUUAUGUUUUUUUUUCCUAAAACUCUAAAAAUUAAAUGCAAUCUAUCUACUAUCAACAUGCAAGGGCUGAAGAUCAGGCUGCCUUUUAUUAUUGAAAAAAAGGGAUCAAAUAUCCAUUGAAGUUAAAUAUUUUUAUUUGAUAGUACGAGAUUAAAAAUAUAUCUAAUACUAAUUUUUAUAGAAUUUAAAAACCGUUUGAUACUUUUGAAGGUUUUCCUAGACUUAAAAAGUUGGAGACAUUAGACCUUUCAUGGAAUGGUAUAGAAAGUAGCAUCUUACCAAGUUUGAAUGGAUUAGCUGCUCUCAAAACUCUGAAUCUCAGUUAUAAUUCUAUGCGAAACUUCUCCCCUCAAGGUAUGUUCGUUUUCUAUAAUUUAUUUACUACAUUAUCUGUUGAUGGAAAUUUUGUAUGUUUAGUUGUAGUUUUGAUGUCUUAUAUUACUCAUGGAUUCAAUGUAUAUUUUCAAAAUUGUACCGAUUGACUGAUGUGUUUUGGUUGUUUACUUUAAUCAAAGAGACUACUUUUUCCAUCAUUAGAGGAAUUAGUAUUUAAAUCUGAACUAAGAGAGAGAGGUGUCCAUCAAAACUAUUUCUCCAUUCAAACAAAAAAAGAAGAGAAGUGUCCGUAUUUAAUACUGUUCAGGACUGCUCAAAGGACUUGCUUUAAGCAGUCUAAGAGAGAGAGAGGUGUCCAUCAAAACUAUUUCUCCAUUCAAACAAAAAAAGAAGAGAAGUGUCCGUAUUUAAUACUGUUCAGGACUGCUCAAAGGACUUGCUUUAAGCAGUCUAAGAGAGAGAGAGGUGUCCAUCAAAACUAUUUCUCACAUCACUAGGGAGGUGUUCUUGCAAGCAUGCCACCAACAUGCUCACAGGACGUUGUUCUUCUGAUUAGGUAAGAUUAGUGGCCCUGUAUGUGGAAAUUUAGAUUUCCCCAUCUUUUUAUUUUUAAAUAAAGAUUCUCGAAAUGUCCUAAUCAGAGCAUAAUACUAGACUCCAAGCAACAAGAAAAAUCGAGGAAGCGCCACGUUAAGCCUUGGGUAGUCACGCUGUCUCAAGCGUCCUAAUCAUGUAUGUCUACACCAUUUUUCAAUGGCGAGGCGGUCAACCAAACAAUCAUUGGGGGUAAGAUAACGUCCAAGUGUACAAAUAUCACCAAGCAAUUAUAUCAAGUUCACAACAUCACAUCAAUUCACAUAAAUCACCAAGGUCACAUAAUCAAUUAUGAGACAUUUCACAUGAUUCAUAUGCAUGUAAUUUUCUAGACACGACUCUUCAUGCAUGUGGUACCAUUUGGAUAUCAGAUUUAUUUUACCAAUUGAUCCGCUAUCGACAAUAAUCAUCACCAAUUUUCCAUCAACAAUAGCCAUCAACAAUAGGACUUGAUCAUGUAUGCAUGAACAUAUGACUUAACAUCGCAUAUAUUCAUAAACUAUAAAGCAAGUCAUCAACCAUCAACAAUUUUCCUCUUAAAAAAAAAAAACCAUCAACAAUAUUCAUCACUGAUUUUCAUCAACCAUAUUCAUCAACAAUAUAUACAUAUAUACAUCACUAAAUCAUACAUAUGCAUACACACCAUCAUGAACUUAUUAUCAUUAAGAAAUCAUCUUCAGCAAAAUUAUCAUCACCAUUUAUCACAACAAGAACAACGAUCACUCAAUUAGCAAUUAUCUCAUUCUAUACGAACAACCAAUUUCUCCAAGUUAACUCACUUUUCAUGAAUACAUGUCAUCACUAAAACGAUCAUAAAAAAUCACCUAGAUAGUAAUUCAUAAUCAUUUACAUGUUAGCUUGGUAUAAUUCAUCAGUUGCCAAAGCCCGUCUAGUCAUACUUUUAUCAAAGUUCGUCUAUUUUUCACCAUUUCGUACAUACAAUCAAUUUCAAUCCAAAGCCAAGUUAAAUCAAGCUUAGGUACUUAACUAUACAUCAAUUCAUUAGGUUUAGGUGUUUGGGAUCUAUUAAAAUGCGUUUCGACCUUAAAAAUACACAAGAUUUGGAGUUCUAGGACCCUGCAGAGGCCGCACGGUCGUGCCCUCUACACGCACGGUCGUGCUGACCAAGUGCCAGAGAGACGCACAAUCAUGCACGACUAUACCAGCACAAGAUUUUCUAUAAAAGUUGUUUCAUGUGCAGGACUUUGUUUUCAAAACCGUUUUUCGAUCCAUUUCGCGUCAAACAACCACAAUCACUUAAACUACUCAUGUCCUACUUUAUAACAUAAUUUUCAUCUCAAAACAACUUAAGUUUAAUUACCAAAACAUCACUUAUUUCACAUAAGUACUUAAAACGAUUUUUGACUUAAAAACCCACUUUUAUUCAAUUCAAUUCCACAUAUAUCAGUUUUCACAACCAACAACAUACUCAUAAUGCAUGUAGUUAUGAAGUUACAAUCAAUCGUUCUUUUGAAUCAAACUUCUAUGCCUUUUCCUUAAACUCUUUUAGAAACUAUUUAAAGAUCAUUUUUGAAUCUUUAUAUCUUGUAGUCUUUAAUGAAUCAAUGAAAAAAUUGGUUAAAGGUUCAUUAUCAAUAUGAUUUACCUGAGAACAGAGAUGGUCGAGAUUAGUAUCAUAAAACUGGAGGAAUAGAAUCAAUGAACAAUGUAUUGUUCAAAAUAAAGUUUUAGUUGAAUAUGAUUCAUAUGAAGAAAAAAAAAAUUAAUUAAUUCUUUCAAAAAAACAAGAACAAGAAGUUAUGUAACAAGAUACUCAAGGUAUGUAACAAAACUCAAUUUGUGUUUUGUCACAUGACUUUAAGAGUUAUGUUGUGUACCUUUCAACUACUAAUCUUUUCUUCCUCGAAUCUUUAAGACUUUGUUGAAAACCACAGUUCAUCUUCUUGUUGAAUCUUCAAUCUACACUCUUUUGAUUCAAUUAAAUUUUUUCUAUAUCUUCUUUGAGUUUGUGAUGCUACUAUUUUGGUAUUCUUCCACAAAGUAUAUAUAUGCACUUGUAAGAGACUUUUUUCUGGUUUACUUAUGUGAAAAGACUUAAGUGCAAACAUCAGUAGAUCAUUAUUCAUAAAACUUAGCGUUUAUUCCGUAAUGUUUGUUAUCAUUAAAACAUUCAUAAAAAAAAAAUUUGCUUCAAUAACUCAUUCUUACAAAACCGGAUUGUAAGGUGAGGAUUGUCUAUUCUUUAUAAACUCUUAUUAAGAGUCUUACCUAUCUGAUGUGAAACUAAAUCCACUACUCCAUCAAAACCAACCCAAGGCAGCUUAAAUUUCGCAAUUAGGCGACUAGAGGCGGACCACAGUAAUGACGGAAUUUCCUACUAAAUCAGAAGAUUGUUUUUGAAGCUAGGCUGAGACCAUAGAGGAUGAAUCUAGCUCAAUACAUAAGUUAAGUCAAUGAUUAACAGAUGCCGGUUCAAUAGCUCUCAACUCCAGGAAGUCUAGCAUGAAAAGAAGACGUGACACCAAGAUUGGAUUAUUCUUAAAAGCCCCAUCAAUUAUUUUAUUUUUUUAAGGGGAGCCCUAUCGAUAUUACUUCUUUGAUAAUAGGAGCUUUAGAAUGAUGAAUAUCAACUUUUAAGCUUUCGAGAAUGAGGAAGUCACUGAUAGAGUUGGUUGAAUCCUUAGUUUUAUUUCCUAAAGGGAAUCAUUUGGAAUGAAGGGAGAAAUUGUUGAUUUCCUAGGAAUAACUCUAUUGUUAAAUCUAGCUUGAUUUGUGGAAAACCAAAUAGAGUUGAUGAUGUUUAUUAGAGCAAUUUUCUUUUUUAAAGGAAUUUAUUAUAGCAGUUGUGAUCUCAGUUUAUUGAAAACUAUAUCUCUAACAUACAUUUGUUUUUCUUUUUUACCGCAGAUGUUCAACAUUUGAGAAACUUGAAAAUGCUAAGUUUAUGCAACAAUCAAAUGAACGGCUCACUUGAAGGUAUUAAUAUUACCAAACACAAAUAAUGAAAUUAUUGGUUUGAUUUGUAAAAUAUAUUCUUUCAUGUACACAAUAAAUAUCAAGGUGUUCUAUACCACAUACAAUUUUUGAGUCUUUUUUAUUGAGAUUUGUGGUCUAAUGUUAUAUUAUUUAUUUAUCGAAAUAUUUUAACAUAUUUUUUUUAAAAAGAAUCAAAAUAUUUUAACAUUGAAUGUGAACAAAAAAUUAUUAAUUACAAACGGUGACAGUUCGACAAUUUAUAUAGAUAUGUGUUUAUUUAGACUUAAAUCUAAAAUUAUAGGAUCCAUAUUCAAUAUCUAAAAUUAAGAAAUUCUAAAUCCAAGGAAAAAAGAAGAAAAAAACAAAAUAAACAAACUGCAGGAAAAGCCGCAGGAAAUGACUUUAGAAAAACCGCAGUAAAAUCCGCAGCAAUACCUGUGGAAUUUCCUAAGGAAACGUUCAAAUAAUAUUCGUCAAUGGUUCUGCAGAUAGAAGUUACCUGCAGAUUUUCCUGCGGUAUCUGGAUUCGCAGGAAAUUUGAUAUGACUAACGUUAUCCGCAGCAAAAUCCUCAGGUAUUCCUGCGGAUUUGUUACCGCAUGAAAAGCCGCAGGAAACUGGACAAAAUAAUAGCAUGAUUUCAUAAUUGCUUCAGGGAAUACUGGGAAGAAUAAAUUAUUACAAUAAAUAUACAUAGCUUUCUAACUUAUUUUAACUUUUAAGUAAGAUACAAAUCAAACAAAUCAAAUCUCCACAACUUUGCAUUCAUAGAAGUAUAUAUAUGCUUUACAAUAACAAUAUAUAUGCUUAAACAUAUGACAGGACUAUGCAAAUUGAAGGAUUUGGUAGAGCUAGAUAUCAGCUAUAACAUGUUUAGCGCGCAACUUCCCGAGUGUUUAAGCAACUUAACAAACCUGAAUGUUCUUGAACUUAGCUAUAAUUUGUUCAGUGGAAAUUUUCCAUCCUUCAUUAGUAAUCUCACAUCACUGGCAUACUUAUCCCUCUUUGGAAAUUACAUGCAAGGAUCAUUUUCAUUGAGCACUUUGGCUAAUCACUCCAAUCUCCAGCAUCUAUAUAUUUCAUCACAAAGCAUUGGUGCAAACAUUGAAACUGAAAAGACAAAGUGGUUACCCAAAUUUCAAUUGAAGACACUCAUUCUUAGAAAUUGCAACUUAAACAAGGACAAAGGAAGUGUCAUUCCUACUUUUCUUUCAUAUCAAUAUAGUUUGAUAUUGAUGGACCUAUCCAGCAACAAAUUGGUUGGUUUAUUCCCAAGAUGGUUCAUACAUUCUUCUAUGAAAUAUUUGGAUAUAUCAAUCAACAGUUUAAGUGGUUUUCUUCCAAAAGAUAUUGGUAUAUUCCUUCCUAGUGUUACCUAUAUGAAUUUUUCAUCAAAUAACUUUGAAGGAAAUAUACCUUCAUCAAUUGGUAAGAUGAAAAAACUUGAGUCCUUGGACCUCUCUCAUAAUCAUUUCUCAGGUGAGUUACCUAAACAACUGGCCACAGGUUGUGAUAAUUUACAAUACUUGAAGCUCUCCAACAACUUUCUACAUGGGAACAUUCCUAAAUUUUAUAAUUCCAUGAAUGUGGAAUUUUUAUUUCUCAAUAAUAACAACUUUAGUGGAACACUUGAAGAUGUAUUGGGAAAUAAUACAGGAUUAGUAUUUCUAUCCAUAUCCAAUAAUUCAUUCUCAGGAACAAUUCCUAGCUCAAUUGGGACAUUUUCUUACAUCUGGGUCCUUCUUAUGUCUCAAAAUAUAUUAGAAGGUGAGAUCCCUAUUGAGAUUUCCAACAUGUCAAGUCUUAAAAUUCUGGAUCUUUCUCAAAACAAGUUAAUUGGAUCAAUCCCAAAGUUAAGUGGUUUGACAGUUCUUAGGUUCUUGUAUUUGCAAAAGAAUAAUCUCUCUGGCUCGAUACCAUCUGAACUCUCUGAAGGCUCACAACUACAACUUCUAGAUUUGAGGGAGAACAAAUUUUCAGGUAAAAUUCCCCACUGGAUGGAUAAGCUAUCAGAGUUACGUGUUCUUUUACUAGGAGGGAACAAAUUGGAAGGAGAUAUUCCAAUUCAAUUGUGUCGGUUAAAAAAGAUAGACAUAAUGGACCUAUCACGGAACAUGCUCAAUGCUUCAAUACCAUCUUGCUUCCGAAAUAUGUCAUUUGGAAUGAGGCAAUACGUUGAUGAUGAUGACGGUCCUACUUUUGAAUUCUCAAUAUCCGGAUAUCUUCCAACGAUUUCCUUCAAUGCUAGUUUGUCGAUUCAACCUCCAUGGAGUUUGUUUAAUGAAGAUCUACAAUUUGAGGUGGAGUUCAGAACAAAGCACUAUGAAUACUUUUACAAGGGUAAAGUUCUAGAGAAUAUGACUGGAUUGGAUUUAUCAUGGAAUAACCUAACAGGUCUCAUCCCUUCUCAAAUUGGUCACCUUCAACAAGUUAGAGCCUUGAACCUAUCACAUAAUCACUUGUCUGGUCCUAUUCCAAUUACUUUUUCAAAUCUUACCCAAAUAGAGAGCCUUGACUUAUCAUACAAUAACUUGAGUGGUAAGAUACCAAAUGAACUAACCCAGUUGAACUUUUUAUCAACCUUCAAUGUAUCAUACAACAACUUUUCUGGAACACCACCUAGUACAGGACAGUUUGGAGGUUUUGAUGAGGACAGUUACAGAGGUAAUCCCGGUCUUUGUGGACCACUCCUCUAUCAAAAGUGUGAACGUGUCGAGUCUUCACCUUCAUCACAAUCCAAUGACAAUGGAGAAAAGGAAACCAUGGUGGACAUGAUAACAUUUUAUUGGAGUUUCA